rnacentral:rRNA from 1 species
CCUCCUCCACCCUCCACCUACUACGCCCUCCAAUUCCACCGUUCCGAGGCGGCGUCUGCGUCUCCUCCCCACGCCCCGUCCCUCUCGCUGCCUCCAGCCCGGCGACACAUCCACCGCCGCGCCACCGUCGGAUUCGCGCCCCCCCGCCCGCCGCUCCGAUCGCGUGGACGAAGAUGCUGGGCGCCGCGAGGAGGCAGCUCGGAUCCGGCCCCAUGCUGGGGCAGUUGCUGCGGAGGCUCCGCCCGGCGGCGGCGGCGUCCACGGAGGCGGCAAGGGGGUACUCCUCCGCGGCCAAGGAGAUCACCGUACGUGACGCGUUGAACUCUGCCCUAGAUGAAGAAAUGUCUGCUGAUCCUUCUGUCUUUUUGAUGGGUGAAGAGGUUGGAGAAUAUCAAGGUGCAUACAAGAUUACGAAGGGCUUGCUUGACAAGUAUGGUCCUGAUAGGGUUCUUGAUACCCCAAUCACUGAGGCUGGUUUUACAGGCAUUGGUGUUGGUGCAGCCUAUCAAGGUCUUCGGCCAGUUAUAGAGUUCAUGACAUUUAAUUUCUCAAUGCAGGCAAUCGAUCAUAUCAUCAACUCAGCUGCUAAGUCAAACUACAUGUCAGCUGGUCAGAUAAAUGUCCCAAUUGUUUUCAGAGGACCAAAUGGUGCUGCUGCUGGAGUUGGUGCUCAACACUCACAGUGUUAUGCAGCUUGGUUUGCGCAUGUUCCAGGACUUAAGGUUCUGGCUCCAUAUUCUUCAGAAGAUGCCAGAGGCUUGCUAAAAGCUGCAAUUAGGGAUCCUGAUCCCGUUGUUUUUCUGGAAAAUGAAUUACUCUAUGGAGAGUCGUUCCCUGUUUCUGAUGAAGUGCUUGAUUCUAGUUUUGCUCUGCCGAUUGGCAAAGCUAAGAUAGAACGCGAGGGUAAAGAUGUUACGAUUACUGCAUUCUCCAAGAUGGUCGGCUAUGCUCUUCAGGCUGCUGAGAUACUGUCCAAGGAAGGAAUCAGUGCUGAGGUGAUCAACCUUCGAUCAAUUAGGCCACUGGAUAGAGCCGCCAUAAAUGCAUCCGUUAGGAAAACAAAUAGAUUGGUGACUCUUGAAGAAGGCUUCCCCCAGCAUGGUGUUGGUGCUGAGAUAUGCAUGUCUGUUGUAGAAGAAAGCUUUGAGUAUCUUGAUGCUCCAAUUGAGAGGAUUGCUGGAGCUGAUGUACCCAUGCCCUAUGCUGCCAACCUUGAGAGAUUGGCUGUUCCACAGAUCGAGGAUAUCGUCCGAGCGGCCAGGCGAGCCUGCUACAGAGCGUUGCCCAUGACGGCAACUGCGUGAUCGAAAUUUCACUUUACUCUGCCCAUGCUUUUUCCCAUCGCCUGCCCGGCCAGAAAGAAACGUGUGUGUUCCAUAAUGCUUUCGUUGAUUGAUUAUUACUACGGCCUAAUCACGGUGGUUACAUAAAUGGAAAAUUGAGGUGUUCUCAUGCA